rnacentral:rRNA from 1 species
UACGUAGGGGGCAAGCGUUGUCCGGAUUUAUUGGGCGUAAAGAGCGUGUAGGCGGUUUGGUAGGUCCGCUGUGAAAACUCGAGGCUCAACCUCGAGACGCCGGUGGAAACCAUCAGACUAGAGUCCGGAAGAGGCGAGUGGAAUUCCUGGUGUAGCGGUGAAAUGCGCAGAUAUCAGGAGGAACACCGGUGGCGAAGGCGGGUCUCUGGGCCGUAACUGACGCUGAGGAGCGAAAGCGUGGGGAGCGAACAGG